AACGGGGUGCGGUCCUAUCGUGCAGCCGAGCGGUAGAUUACUUUCGGGUAUUGAGAGCGGCGUACGGGUGCGCGCACGUGUGCUCCUGCCUUGAUCAGGGGGAUAGCCUUUCGAGAGGAAUAUUAUACCCCAUAAUAUAUUAUUCGCUUUCGGGUGAUAUUGAAAACUACAGUGGAGGUUGUGGGCACGCGCAAAAUUAGCUAGUUGGUGAGGUUCGGCUCACCAAGGCAACGAUCUUUACGGGGCCUGAAAGGGUGAUCCCCCACACUGGUACUGAGCCACGCACCAUUCUCUUCAGGCGGCAGCCGUGAGGGGUAUUGGUCGCUGGGUGGAAGCCUGAUCCAUCCAUCCCUCGUGCAGGAAUAAGGACCGACGACUUGUAAACUGCUUUUAUCUGGGGAUAAACCUACUUACUGGUUAAUAACUGAAGGUACUGAAAUAACACGCACCGGAUAACUCCGUGCCAUCCGCCGCGGUAACACCGAGGGUGCAGACGGUAUCCGGAUUUAUUGGAUUUAAAGGGUCCAUAGGCCAACUGAUAAGUCUGUGAUGAAAUACGACAGCUUACCUGUCUCACUGCCAUUGAUGCUGUCAAAUCUUGACAAAGGUUAAUCUUGGCUGAGAAGAAGUAGAAUUCCCGGUGAAAUGACAGAUUUGGAAAUAGAUCAUUUUUGGGACAGUUUUCAAGGUGCUGCAUGGUUGUCGUCAGGUGAAACCGUGAGGUAAGAGGUUAAAUCAUGCCAAGAGCUCAACCCCUGUCACUAGUUGUUAACCUUAAGUUGAAGGGUGUAGUGCGGUGAUAUACGCAAGGAGAGAGGAAGGUGGGGCAGAUGUUCAAUCACCUUGGGCCCUGGGUUUUGGGCCACACACGUGGUACCAUGCACGGUGCAGAGGCCAGGUGCGUACAAAUAGGAUUCAAAUCUCGAAAGCCAGUCUCAGUUCGGAUUGGAGUCUGCAACUCCAUGAAGUGAAGCUGGAUUGUAAUGUUAUAUCGCAUCAGCCAGGGCGCGGUGAAUACGUUCCCUGGCACGUCCCCACCCACCCCAAGCCAUGGAAUGCAAAAGAACUGAAAUCGGAACUUUAAGGAGAGCCGUUUAUCUAAAAAUUCCUUG
rnacentral:rRNA from 1 species